rnacentral:rRNA from 1 species
GAUAAACGCUGGCGGCGUGCCUAAUGCAUGCAAGUCGCACGAGCCGCAAGGCUAGUGGCGGACGGGUGAGUAACACGUAGGAACCUGCCCGAAAGUGGGGGAUAACCCCUCGAAAGAGGGGCUAAUACCGCAUGUGGUCCACGGACCAAAGCUUCGGCGCUUUCGGAGGGGCCUGCGGCGGAUUAGCUUGUUGGUGGGGUAACGGCCUACCAAGGCGACGAUCCGUAGCUGGUCUGAGAGGAUGAUCAGCCACACUGGGACUGAGACACGGCCCAGACUCCUACGGGAGGCAGCAGCAAGGAAUUUUCCGCAAUGGGCGAAAGCCUGACGGAGCAACGCCGCGUGGGGGAAGAAGGCCUUCGGGUUGUAAACCCCUUUUACGAGGGAAGAAGAUCUGACGGUACCUCGUGAAUAAGCCACGGCUAACUACGUGCCAGCAGCCGCGGUAAU